GCGCUCCAGGGCGCGUCCUCCGCGCGCGGCUCCGGGGUAGCGCCCGCUGGAGCGUUGGACUCCGGGAACCCCAAGGGCAGAGAGCUCCCCGCUACGCCUGGGCCUCCCAGGUACGCGCGGGCCGGGCCGGGCGGGCAGGAGGGCGGCGGACGCGCCCAGACUUGGGCACCUCCUCACCCGGACCCCGGGCCGCGCCGCGCCGCCUCCUGGCUCCCGUGGCCACCAGCCUGCCCCGGCCGCCCCAAGCGUCGGGCUCCGAGGUGGGGACGCGCCCCUCCCCGCCCCCCGGACGCCUCAGUCCUCCGCACUAAGCUUGGCCACGCGCCCCUGGGCGCCCCCCACGUCCCGGGCUCCCGAGGGCCGCAGCCAUGAGUGAAAUGUCCAGCUUUCUCCACAUCGGGGACAUCGUCUCCCUGUACGCCGAGGGCUCCGUCAAUGGCUUCAUCAGCACUUUGGGGCUGGUGGAUGACCGCUGUGUGGUGGAGCCCGCGGCCGGGGACCUGGACAACCCCCCUAAGAAGUUUCGAGACUGCCUCUUCAAGGUGUGUCCCAUGAACCGCUACUCUGCCCAGAAGCAGUACUGGAAGGCCAAGCAGACCAAGCAGGACAAGGAGAAGAUCGCCGACGUGGUGUUGCUGCAGAAGCUGCAGCAUGCCGCCCAGAUGGAGCAGAAGCAAAACGACACAGAGAACAAGAAGGUUCACGGGGAUGUGGUGAAGUACGGCAGCGUGAUCCAGCUCCUGCACAUGAAGAGCAACAAGUACCUGACUGUGAACAAGCGGCUUCCGGCCUUGCUGGAGAAGAAUGCCAUGCGGGUGACCCUGGAUGCCACGGGCAACGAGGGCUCCUGGCUCUUCAUCCAGCCCUUCUGGAAGCUGCGGAGCAACGGGGACAACGUGGUCGUGGGGGACAAGGUGAUACUGAAUCCUGUCAACGCUGGGCAGCCUCUGCAUGCCAGCAAUUAUGAGCUCAGCGACAACGCCGGCUGCAAGGAGGUCAACUCUGUGAACUGCAACACCAGCUGGAAGAUCAACCUCUUUAUGCAGUUCCGGGACCACCUGGAGGAGGUGUUGAAGGGGGGAGACGUGGUGCGGCUGUUCCAUGCGGAGCAGGAGAAGUUCCUGACGUGUGAUGAGUACAAGGGCAAGCUGCAGGUGUUCCUGCGCACCACGCUGCGCCAGUCUGCCACCUCGGCCACCAGCUCCAAUGCCCUCUGGGAGGUGGAGGUGGUCCACCACGACCCCUGCCGUGGAGGAGCUGGGCACUGGAAUGGCCUGUACCGCUUCAAGCACCUAGCCACGGGCAACUACCUGGCUGCUGAGGAGAACCCUAGCUACAAAGGUGAUGCCUCAGAUCCCAAGACAGCAGGAAUGGGGGCCCAGGGCCGUGCAGGCCGCAGGAAUGCUGGGGAGAAGAUCAAGUACCGCCUGGUGGCCGUGCCUCAUGGCAACGACAUCGCCUCUCUCUUUGAGCUGGACCCCACCACAUUGCAGAAAACUGACUCUUUGGUGCCCCGGAACUCCUACGUCCGGCUGCGGCACCUCUGCACCAACACGUGGAUCCAGAGCACCAACGUGCCCAUUGACGUCGAGGAGGAGCGGCCCAUCCGGCUCAUGCUGGGCACCUGCCCCACCAAGGAGGACAAGGAGGCCUUUGCCAUUGUGUCGGUGCCCGUGUCCGAGAUCCGAGACCUGGACUUUGCCAAUGACGCCAGCUCCAUGCUGGCCAGUGCCGUGGAGAAACUCAACGAGGGCUUCAUCAGCCAGAAUGACCGCAGGUUUGUCAUCCAGCUGCUUGAAGACCUGGUGUUCUUUGUCAGUGAUGUCCUCAACAAUGGGCAGAAUGUCCUGGACAUCAUGGUCACCAAGCCCAACCGGGAACGGCAGAAGCUGAUGAGGGAGCAGAACAUCCUCAAACAGAUCUUCGGCAUUCUGAAGGCCCCGUUCCGCGAGAAGGGGGGUGAAGGUCCCCUGGUGCGGCUGGAGGAGCUGUCAGACCAGAAGAACGCCCCCUAUCAGCACAUGUUCCGCCUGUGCUACCGCGUGCUGCGGCAUUCCCAGGAGGACUACCGCAAGAACCAGGAGCACAUCGCCAAGCAGUUUGGGAUGAUGCAGUCCCAGAUUGGCUACGACAUCCUGGCGGAGGACACCAUCACCGCCCUGCUGCACAACAACCGCAAGCUCCUGGAGAAGCACAUCACCAAGACCGAGGUGGAGACCUUCGUCAGCCUUGUGCGCAAGAACCGGGAGCCCAGGUUCCUGGACUACCUCUCUGACCUGUGUGUGUCCAACCACAUUGCCAUCCCCGUCACCCAGGAGCUCAUCUGCAAGUGUGUGCUGGACCCCAAGAACAGCGACAUUCUCAUCCGGACUGAGCUUCGGCCCGUGAAGGAGAUGGCCCAAUCCCACGAGUACCUGAGCAUUGAGUACUCAGAAGAGGAAGUGUGGCUCACGUGGACCGACAAGAAUAACGAGCACCAUGAGAAAAGUGUGAGGCAGCUGGCCCAGGAGGCGCGGGCUGGCAACGCCCACGACGAGAACGUGCUCAGCUACUACAGGUACCAGCUGAAGCUCUUUGCCCGCAUGUGCUUGGACCGCCAGUACUUGGCCAUCGAUGAGAUCUCCCAGCAGCUGGGCGUGGACCUGAUCUUCUUGUGCAUGGCGGAUGAGAUGCUGCCCUUUGACCUUCGCGCCUCCUUCUGCCACCUGAUGCUGCACGUGCAUGUGGACCGUGACCCCCAGGAGCUGGUCACACCCGUCAAGUUUGCCCGUCUCUGGACUGAGAUCCCCACAGCCAUCACCAUCAAGGACUAUGAUUCUAACCUCAACGCGUCCCGAGAUGACAAGAAGAACAAGUUUGCCAGCACCAUGGAGUUCGUGGAGGACUACCUCAACAAUGUGGUCAGCGAGGCCGUGCCCUUUGCCAACGAGGAGAAGAACAAGCUCACUUUUGAGGUGGUCAGCCUGGCGCACAAUCUCAUCUACUUCGGCUUCUACAGCUUCAGCGAGCUGCUGCGGCUCACUCGCACGCUGCUGGGCAUCAUCGACUGUGUGCAGGGGCCGCCGGCCAUGCUGCAGGCCUACGAGGACCCCGGCGGCAAGAAUGUGCGGCGUUCCAUCCAGGGCGUGGGGCACAUGAUGUCCACCAUGGUGCUGAGCCGCAAGCCGUCCGUCUUUGGUGCCCCCAGCUUGUCUACCGGGGCCAGUGCUGCGGAGCCGCUGGACAGAAGCAAGUUUGAGGAGAAUGAGGACAUUGUGGUGAUGGAGACCAAGCUGAAGAUCCUGGAAAUCCUUCAGUUCAUCCUCAAUGUCCGCCUGGAUUACCGCAUCUCCUAUCUGCUGUCUGUAUUCAAGAAGGAGUUUGUGGAGGUGUUUCCCAUGCAGGACAGCGGGGCUGACGGCACAGCCCCUGCCUUCGACUCUACCACUGCCAACAUGAACCUGGAUCGCAUUGGGGAGCAGGCGGAGGCCAUGUUUGGAGUGGGGAAGACGAGCAGCAUGCUGGAGGUGGACGACGAGGGCGGCCGCAUGUUCCUGCGUGUGCUCAUCCACCUCACCAUGCACGACUAUGCGCCACUGGUCUCGGGUGCCCUGCAGCUGCUUUUCAAGCACUUCAGCCAGCGCCAGGAGGCCAUGCACACCUUCAAGCAGGUGCAGCUGCUGAUCUCGGCUCAGGACGUGGAGAACUACAAGGUGAUCAAGUCGGAGCUGGACCGGCUGCGGACCAUGGUGGAGAAGUCGGAGCUGUGGGUGGACAAGAAGGGCAGCAGCAAGGGUGAAGAGGUGGAGGCAGGUGCCGCCAAGGACAAGAAGGAGCGGCCCACGGAUGAGGAGGGCUUUCUGCACCCGCCAGGGGAGAAGAGCAGUGAGAACUACCAGAUUGUCAAGGGCAUCCUGGAACGGCUGAACAAGAUGUGCGGGGUUGGGGAGCAGAUGCGGAAGAAGCAGCAGCGGCUGCUGAAAAACAUGGACGCUCACAAGGUCAUGCUGGACCUGCUGCAGAUUCCCUACGACAAGGGUGAUGCCAAGAUGAUGGAGAUCCUGCGUUACACGCACCAGUUCCUGCAGAAGUUCUGUGCAGGGAACCCCGGCAACCAGGCCCUGCUGCACAAGCACCUGCACCUCUUCCUCACGCCAGGGCUCCUAGAGGCAGAGACCAUGCAGCACAUCUUCCUGAACAACUAUCAGCUCUGCUCCGAGAUCAGCGAGCCCGUGUUGCAGCACUUUGUGCACCUGCUGGCCACGCACGGGCGCCAUGUGCAGUACCUGGACUUCCUGCACACCGUCAUCAAGGCCGAGGGCAAGUACGUCAAGAAGUGCCAGGACAUGAUCAUGACUGAGCUGACCAAUGCAGGUGACGAUGUGGUCGUGUUCUACAACGAUAAGGCGUCGCUGGCCCACCUGCUGGACAUGAUGAAGGCUGCUCGCGAUGGUGUGGAGGACCACAGCCCCCUCAUGUACCACAUUUCCCUGGUGGACCUGCUGGCUGCCUGCGCCGAGGGCAAGAACGUCUACACUGAGAUCAAGUGCACCUCCCUGCUGCCACUGGAGGACGUGGUGUCUGUGGUGACGCAUGAGGACUGCAUCACCGAGGUGAAAAUGGCCUACGUGAACUUUGUGAACCACUGCUACGUGGACACGGAGGUAGAGAUGAAGGAGAUCUACACCAGCAACCACAUCUGGACGCUCUUUGAGAACUUCACCCUGGACAUGGCUCGGGUCUGCAGCAAGCGUGAGAAGCGCCUGGCUGACCCCACCCUGGAGAAGUAUGUGCUGAGCGUCGUGCUGGACACCAUCAACGCCUUCUUCAGCUCCCCGUUCUCCGAGAACAGCACCUCCUUGCAGACGCACCAGACGAUCGUGGUGCAGCUGCUACAGUCCACCACACGGCUCCUCGAGUGUCCGUGGCUACAGCAGCAGCACAAGGGCUCUGUGGAGGCCUGCAUCCGGACCCUCGCCAUGGUGGCCAAGGGCCGGGCCAUCUCGCUGCCCAUGGACCUGGAUGCCCACAUCAGCUCGAUGCUCAGCAGUGGAGCCAGCUGUGCAGCUGCCAUCCAGCGGAACACCUCCAGCUACAAAGCAACCACGAGGGCCUUCCCCCGCAUCACCCCCACCGCCAACCAGUGGGACUAUAAGAACAUCAUCGAGAAGCUGCAGGACAUCAUCACAGCCCUGGAGGAGCGGCUGAAGCCCCUGGUACAGGCUGAGCUGUCCGUGCUGGUGGACGUCCUGCACUGGCCUGAGCUGCUCUUCCUGGAGGGCAGUGAGGCCUACCAACGCUGCGAGAGUGGGGGUUUCCUGUCCAAGCUGAUCCAGCACACCAAGGACCUGAUGCAGUCAGAGGAGAAGCUGUGCAUCAAGGUGCUGCGGACCCUGCAGCAGAUGCUGCUCAAGAAGACCAAGUACGGGGACCGGGGCAACCAGCUGCGCAAGAUGCUGCUGCAAAACUACCUCCAGAACCGGAAGUCCAGCUCGCGGGGGGACCUUCCCGACCCCAUGGGCACUGGCCUGGACCAAGACUGGUCAGCAAUUGCGGCCACCCAGUGCCGGCUGGACAAGGAGGGAGCCACCAAGCUGGUAUGUGACCUCAUCACCAGCACCAAGAACGAGAAGAUCUUCCAGGAGAGCAUCGGCCUGGCCAUCCGCCUGCUGGAUGGCGGCAACACGGAGAUCCAGAAAUCCUUCCACAACCUCAUGAUGAGUGACAAGAAGUCAGAGCGCUUCUUCAAGGUGCUGCACGACCGCAUGAAGCGGGCCCAGCAGGAGACCAAGUCCACGGUGGCGGUCAACAUGAAUGACCUGGGCGGCCAGCCGCAUGAGGACCGCGAGCCAGCCGACCCCACCACCAAAGGCCGCGUGGCCUCCUUCUCCAUGCCGGCUUCCUCAUCCCGCUACUGGCUGGGCCCCAGCCUGCGCCGGGGGCACGAGGUGAGCGAGCGUGUGCAGAGCAAUGAGAUGGGCAUGGCCGUGCUCAUCAUGCAGCCCAUCCUGCGCUUUCUGCAGCUGCUGUGCGAGAACCACAACCGGGACCUGCAGAACUUCCUGCGCUGUCAGAAUAACAAAACCAACUACAACUUGGUGUGCGAGACGCUGCAGUUCCUGGACAUCAUGUGCGGCAGCACCACGGGCGGCCUGGGGCUGCUGGGGCUCUACAUCAAUGAGGACAAUGUGGGCCUCGUCAUCCAGACCUUGGAGACCCUCACUGAGUACUGCCAGGGCCCCUGCCAUGAGAACCAGACCUGCAUCGUGACACACGAGUCCAACGGCAUAGACAUCAUCACCGCACUGAUCCUCAAUGACAUCAGCCCGCUGUGCAAGUACCGCAUGGAUCUGGUGCUGCAACUCAAGGACAAUGCCUCCAAGCUGCUCCUGGCUCUGAUGGAGAGCCGGCAUGACAGUGAAAACGCUGAGCGCAUCCUCAUCAGCCUGCGGCCCCAGGAGCUGGUGGACGUCAUCAAGAAGGCCUACCUGCAGGAGGAAGAGCGUGAGAAUUCGGAGGUGAGCCCACGUGAAGUGGGCCACAACAUCUACAUCCUGGCGCUGCAGCUCUCUAGGCACAAUAAACAGCUGCAGCACCUGCUGAAGCCCGUGAAGCGCAUUCAAGAGGAGGAGGCCGAGGGUAUCUCUUCCAUGCUCAGCCUCAACAACAAGCAGCUGUCACAGAUGCUCAAGUCCUCGGUGCCAGCACAGGAGGAGGAGGAAGACCCCCUGGCCUACUACGAGAACCACACGUCCCAGAUCGAGAUUGUGCGGCAGGACCGCAGCAUGGAGCAGAUCGUGUUCCCAGUGCCUGGCAUCUGCCAGUUCCUGACGGAAGAGACCAAGCACCGGCUCUUCACCACUACCGAGCAGGACGAGCAGGGCAGCAAAGUGAGCGACUUCUUCGACCAGUCCUCCUUUCUGCACAACGAGAUGGAGUGGCAGCGCAAACUCCGCAGCAUGCCGCUGAUCUACUGGUUCUCCCGCCGCAUGACCCUGUGGGGCAGCAUCUCCUUCAACCUGGCUGUGUUUAUCAACAUCAUCAUUGCCUUCUUCUACCCUUAUGUGGAGGGUGCAUCCACAGGCGUGCUGGAUUCCCCUCUCAUCUCACUGCUGUUCUGGAUCCUCAUCUGCUUCUCCAUUGCUGCCCUGUUCACCAAGAGCUACAGCAUCCGCCCCCUCAUCGUGGCACUCAUCCUGCGCUCCAUCUACUAUCUGGGCAUCGGGCCCACGCUCAACAUUCUGGGUGCUCUCAACCUGACCAACAAGAUCGUGUUUGUGGUGAGCUUCGUGGGCAACCGUGGCACCUUCAUCCGGGGCUAUAAGGCCAUGGUCAUGGACGUGGAAUUCCUCUACCACGUGGGCUACAUCCUGACUAGUGUCCUGGGCCUCUUUGCUCACGAGCUGUUCUAUAGCAUCCUGCUCUUUGACCUCAUCUACCGCGAGGAGACGCUGUUCAACGUCAUCAAAAGCGUGACCCGCAAUGGCCGCUCCAUCCUGCUGACAGCCCUGCUGGCCCUCAUCCUGGUCUACCUCUUCUCUAUUGUCGGCUUCCUCUUCCUCAAGGAUGACUUCAUCCUCGAGGUCGACCGGCUGCCCAACAACCACUCCAGAGCCAGCCCCUUGGGGAUGCCACAUGGAGCUGCUGCAUUUGUGGGCACUUGCAGCGAGGACAAGAUGGACUGUGUCUCGGGGGUCUCGGUGCCCGAGGUCCUGGAAGAGGACGGGGAGCUGGACAGCACAGAGCGGGCCUGUGACACUCUGCUGAUGUGCAUCGUUACCGUCAUGAACCAUGGGCUACGCAACGGUGGUGGCGUGGGCGACAUUCUCCGCAAGCCCUCGAAAGACGUGAGCAUUCCUGCCCACUCCCAAACCCAUGGGGCCCAAGCCACUGUCCAGAUCAGCAACUGUGGAGAGUCCUGUCUUUGGCCUCACAUCAGAUAUUCAGGGUUGAACUCUCCCUCCCCCAAGUUUGCAUCCUUUUUUUCCUGCUUUCCAUACCUGGCCAAUUCCAUAACGUUACUGCUUAGCUGCCCCUCACCCUCCUAUUCCAUAAGGAAAGACCUUGGCAACCAAACUUUGCCCCAGGGCUAGGGACGGCGACCCCCGGCUUCUGUAGCCCACAGCAGGCAGGCAGAAGGCAGAGCUGAGUCAGCUUCAUCAGGAGGCCUCAUGAUUUGGCUUGGGCAGCCACGUUCCAGAACAUCAGUCCUUCCCGUUGCUUGAGAGUGAGAAGCUGCCUCCCUGGCCAGAAAGGGUUUCUAGAAUGUGUGAGGCCAGGCGUCGUGAGUGUGGGACAGAGGUAUUCAGAGCUGGCUCUUUCCCUAACCAAAGUUCGGGGCAGAGACACGCCUAGACUCAUAGCCCUGCCUCCCUGCACUAGACUCCUGUAAGAGUUUACCCCGGUGUGUCCUGAGUCCACACUUUCCUAACCCAAACUUGGGGCUUCUGCUUGCAAUUCUUACUCUGUGGAGCCAGGUUGGGUCCACUCUCCCAUCGGCAUGGCCCACGAGCCAGAGGCCCUCAUUUCCUUCUGCUGGGGUCUGGAUCCACAAUAUCACAGCCCUGGCCCUCACCUGAGUCCCGUGCCUGGGUGAAUGCGGGGACCACCUGGCCCAGCCUCCCUGCCUUGCCUCCGCAGGAGUCUCUGUUCCCAGCCCGAGUGGUCUAUGACCUCCUGUUCUUCUUCAUCGUCAUUAUCAUCGUGCUGAACCUCAUCUUUGGGGUAAUCAUUGACACCUUCGCUGACCUGCGCAGUGAGAAGCAGAAGAAGGAGGAGAUUCUCAAGACGACAUGCUUCAUCUGUGGUCUGGAGAGGGACAAGUUUGAUAACAAGACGGUGUCAUUUGAGGAACACAUCAAGCUGGAGCACAACAUGUGGAACUACCUGUACUUCAUCGUGCUGGUCCGUGUGAAGAACAAGACGGACUACACAGGCCCCGAGAGCUACGUGGCCCAGAUGAUCAAGAACAAGAACCUGGACUGGUUCCCCCGGAUGCGGGCCAUGUCCCUUGUGAGCAAUGAGGGUGAAGGGGAGCAGAAUGAGAUUCGGAUUCUUCAGGACAAGCUCAACUCCACCAUGAAGCUGGUGUCCCACCUCACUGCCCAGCUCAACGAGCUCAAGGAGCAGAUGACGGAGCAGCGGAAACGCAGGCAACGCCUAGGCUUUGUGGAUGUCCAGAACUGCAUGAGCCGCUGAGGAGAGCUGCUGGAGGCCCCAACAGGGGAUGCUCAUCACUGGGGACUGCCACUGGGAAGUACUACCCCUCCCUUGGGCAGAGUGGCCCAGCCAGCCUCUGCUUCCACUCUGCCAGACACCCCGACACCAACCCAGGCUUUGACCAGUGUGGAGGGGGAGCCUCAGGGCUGACAGUCCUGCCUAGAGCCCUUAAAAAAGACUUGAAAGUUCACUGGGACUCAGUUUACCUUAGUGCCUUAGCAGAAGAUAAAUCCUAGAGACCUUUGUCCCUUAAAGCAAUCACUGACAACUCUUUGUAGUCCUCCUUGUGGGUGGUUAAGAGUGGGGUCACCUCUUUAUCUCCAAGCACUACAUUUUGGCUGCUGCCUACCUCUGGGGGAGGUGGCAGUAAUACUGUUACUAGUAAUUUUAGGGCUUUGUUAUUUAACUUAUUCCAAGGGUGCUGUGCUCAGCCCUGCCCAUGGCUGUACAGCUCCCUCUGUGCCUCAGAUCUGCUGUAGACAGUGCAGACCUCACUGUUGUGGCUGGCCUGGCUCCAGGUGGUCUGAUGACUCAGUGAUGGACAGCCUUGCUCCCGGGACCUGCCUCUUCCCAGGCUUCCUGGGGAAGAGCUGUGCACCCAGGCAACAAGGGCUGGGCUUCGUUUGCGCAGCUGUUUCAUGACCGCUUGUUUUUCUCCUUUUGGUGUAAUGUUUUACAAAUCCUUUGGCCUAAGAACUAGUAUGUUAAUUGCCUUAAAUAAAUUAACAGAAAU